CGCCUCGGAGUCCCGCGGGGGACGCUCUCCUAAAGCGGGUGUCGCAGGUUCGAAUCCUGCCGGGGCAC
rnacentral:tRNA from 1 species